UCCCAGCAAGGAAGGUUACUCUAACUUGAGCAUAAUGUGCAUCUAACCUGUGAGAUAGUUACACUAACAUUCUCUCUAACGGUUAGGGUAAAGUGAGGCUAAAGUUACGCUAGAAUGACACACUUUUGUUAGGUAUGUUUAUGCUUGGUGCAUAAUUCCAUCUAACCUGUUACACUCACGUUACAUCAACGUUAGAUAUGUUUCGCUUUGGGCGGUUAGGCAGGGAUUAGGGUUGUUUCAAAAGGGAUUUUCAUGCUGAUUUAUUUACAUUCAACUGUCAUCAGAGACAGAAUGUAUAUGUACUAGUGAAAGUACAUAUACAUAACUGCCUCCAAUGACAGUUGAAUGUAAAUAAAAUAUAAAUAAAGAUCUUCGGGAACUUUUUCCCGAAUAUUUUAAUUAUUUUAUUAUUUGCUAUCAUCAAAAAACCAAACAGCGGUUUGCUUUUCCUCGAUGCGAUUCUCCUCUCCUUUCGGCUCGGAACAGCCUCCGUCGUCUGGCCAGCAAAGCAGCAUAGUCGUGUUUACAGACAAAAAUAUUAGUGAAGCGAUCCUGACAAAGGUUUGCACUAUCGCUUUCAGCGACGCACCUCUUUCGGCUAAGAUCAGGUUUCGUUGUCUGGCCACUUCCAAGGAAAUGAAGCGAAGUACGAUGAAAAUUGAGAAAUGGUCUAGUACGUGGUGUUGCAGAAACAAAUGCAUCCGGAAGAGUAGUUUGAAAUUUCGGUCCGGAAAUGUACUUCCUCGUCCGAUACUGGAAAAUGCUUUGCAAUUUUCAAAAAGCAUCUGCGACGACCAUCCAUCCGGUGCGGCCAUUUGCUUCCGGUCCAUUAGCAGGACAAGUUCCAAGGACUUGAGGAGCAACAAUAUAAACAAAACUAAAUAAAAAUCAAUUUAAAAUUGACUUAUUAUAUUUUGAGCUUGAAUCUCCAGAAAUCCGUGUAUAAAUUUCUUUGAAAACUCUUCUCCACCCUCGUCUUCAGCUAUACCAGUUCUUUCGAAAAGGAAUUCUCUGGAAAUUCUUAUAAUCCUCCAGAAGAUACGAUGGUGCAAAAAAUCCUUCAGGAGAUGCUCUGAAAAAUCCUCCAAGGAUUAAUCUGGGAAUUCCCUCAGGGGUGCCGAAAUGUAUCUAGGAGUUCCAUUGGAAAUACCUACAGAAUUUUCUCCAAGAUUUUUUCGUGAAGUUCCUGGUAAUUAUUUUGGGUGUCAAGCUGUUCCGCAAUCACGCCGAAAGUGCCUCUGGAAAUUCUUCCAAGAGGUCAUUUGGAAAUAUCUCUCGAAAUACCCCUGGUAAUCCCUUCAUGGGUUCCCAAAUUCCUCCAUAAAUUCCUUCCAAGAAAGUCCCUUCGAGUUCCACUGGAAGUUUUACCGGGAAUCAUGAUUGGAACUCUAGAAUUCCUCUCAGAGUAUCUUUAUAUAUUUUUCUCCGAGCUGCUCUGGCAAUUGCUCCAGGGCAUUCUAUAAAAAAUCACUCUGGAACUGCUCCGGGAAUUCCUCCAAGAGUUCCUCCGAAAUCUCAUCCAGGAGCUCCUCUGGGAGUUCAUCUGGAUAUUCAUCCAGGAGUGUCUCUAUAAAUUCCUUCAGGAUUGCUCUGGGAAUUCCUUCAGGAGUUUCUCUGUGAAUUCCCCCAAGAGUUCCUCUGGGAAUUACUUUCGCAGUUCAUCUGGGAAUCACUUCAACAGAUCAGCUGAAAAUUUUUCCAGUACUUCAUCUGAAAAUUUUCCAGGAGUUCCUCUGAGAAUUCCUCUAGGAGUUCUCUGAAAAUUCUUCCAGGAGUUCAUCCUCUGGGAAUACCCCAAUAGUUCAUCUGGGAUUCCUCCAGUGGUUUCUAUGGGAACUGCUCUAAUAAUUCAUCCAGGAGUAUCUUUGGGAAUUCCUCCAGGAGUUCUUCUAUAAACUCUUCCAGGAGUUCUACUAGGUGUUUCUCUGGGAGAGAAAUUACUACAAGAGUUCCUCAGCAGGUUUCAAUGGAAAUUCUUCUAGGAGUUCUUCUGAGAAUUCCUAAAGUAGAUCCCCUGGAAAUUUCUCUGAGUUUUUUUUUCAGCAGGAGAAUCCUUCAGCAGUUCAUCUAAGAAUCCCUCCAGGAACUUUUCUGACAAUUAUUCCAGUACUUUGUCUGACAAUUUCUUUAAACGUUUCUCUAGAAAUACCUCCAGAAGAGAGUUACUCCAGUAGUUUCUCUGAGAACUCCUUUAAAAAAAUCUUAAAAUUCCUUCAAGGUUCCUCAGGGAAUUGCUCUGAGCAUUACGUCAGGGCUCCUCAAUAAAUUCCUCCAGAAGUUCCCUUGGGAACUCUUCCAACAGUUCCUCCAGGAAUUCCUCUGGUAAUUCCUUCAGCACUUCAUCUAAGAAUUCCUCUAGAAAUUAUUAAAGAAGCUUCUUAGAAAAUGACUCUUGGAAUUCCUUCAGGAGUUUCUAUAGGAGUUCCUGCAACAGUUCCUAUGAGAAUUCCUCCAUUAGUUUCUCUAGAAAUUCAUUCAGGAGUUCCUCUGGGAAUUCCUCCGUGAAUUCAUUCAAGAGUUCCUCUUGGAAUUACUUCAGCAGUUGAUCUGGGAAUCACUUCUGCAGUUCAUCUGGGAAUACAUCCAGGAGUUCUCCUCUGUGAAUUCCUCAAGGCGUUCAUCUGAGAAUUACUCUAGUAGUUCUCAUGGGAAUUUCUCCACGAGUUCCUCUGAGAAUUCGUCCAUUCGUCGUCCUCUAGGAAUUCAACCUACCAUUUAUCUGGAAAUUUUUUCUAGAAUUCCUCUAGAAACUCUUCCAGGGAUUCCUCUACUGGGAAUUCCUCCAAAAGUUCCUCUGGAAAUUCCUUCAGGAGUUUUUCUGAGAAUUACUCCAGUAGUUCAUCAGAAAAUUCUUUCAGGAGUUCCUUCGGGAAUUCCGGCAACAG